UACGAAGGGGGCUAGCGUUGUUCGGAAUUACUGGGCGUAAAGAGCUCGUAGGCGGUCUGUUGCGUCUGCCGUGAAAACCCGAGGCUUAACCUCGGGCCUGCGGUGGAUACGGGCAGACUAGAGGUAGGUAGGGGAGAACGGAAUUCCCGGUGUAGCGGUGAAAUGCGCAGAUAUCGGGAGGAACACCGGUGGCGAAGGCGGUUCUCUGGGCCUUACCUGACGCUGAGGAGCGAAAGCGUGGGGAGCGAACAGG
rnacentral:rRNA from 1 species